GUUCAUGGAAAUCUUUACAUGCUAAAUUGAGUAGUAGACUCUCGGUUAUCCAUAUGAAUAAAGGGAAAUAUGACAUAAAUAAAGCAGAAUAACAGAUAAACUUUGGACAAAGCAGAAUGGCAAAUAAAAUCACUUCUACUGGACUCCAAAUACAACAUGAUAUGUUUUCUCCAGGAGAAAAAUUUAGUCUUCUUAGAAAAAAGCAACUGACAACAAAAGGAUGAAUACUACUAAAAUGAAGGAUGAAAGUAAGAUCCAAGGAGGAAAACCAACUUACAUCAGGACACAUAGUAAAUGGAAAAACUCAGACUAAAACGCUUAGUAUUAGUAUCAAAAACUAAAUGGUGCUCUAUCCACUUUGCCAUCUAGUUGCCCCCAAAAUGUUUUUCCUUAAGGAGACACUUGAUUAAAUCAUUUCGCUACUGAAUAAAUUCCACUGAGAAAAAUAAAAAAUGACGGAUGCUGGAGGUGCUGCAAAAUAGACACAUUGAUGCAUUGUUAAUGGAACUGUGAAUUGGUUCAGUCAUUAUGGAAACCAGUUUGGAUCUAUAUAUGCCCGUAAAGUUACUAAAAUG
rnacentral:lncRNA from 1 species